UACGUAGGCGGAUUAAUAAGUCAGUGGUGAAAUCUUUCGGCUCAACCGAGGACCUGCCAUUGAUACUGUUAAUCUUGAGUUCGGUUGAGGUAGGCGGAAUGUGUAAUGUAGCGGUGAAAUGCUUAGAUAUUACACAGAACACCAAUUGCGUAGGCAGCUUACUAGACCGACACUGACGCUGAGGCACGAAAGCGUGGGGAGCGAACAGGAUUAGAUACCCUGGUAGUCC
rnacentral:rRNA from 1 species